rnacentral:rRNA from 1 species
GACGAACGCUGGCGGCGUGCUUAACACAUGCAAGUCGAACGGAAAGGCCCUGCUCUUGUGGUGUGCUCGAGUGGCGAAAGGGUGAGUAACACGUGAGUAACCUGCCCUUGACUUUGGGAUAACUUCAGGAAACUGGGGCUAAUACCGGAUAGGAGCUCCUGCUGCAUGGUGGGGGUUGGAAAGUUUCGGCGGUAGGGGAUGGACUCGCGGCUUAUCAGCUUGUUGGUGGGGUAGUGGCUUACCAAGGCUUUGACGGGUAGCCGACCUGAGAGGGUGACCGGGGCCAUUGGGCCUGCGGGACGGCGCAGUCUCCUACGGGAGGCAACAGUGGGGAAUAUGGCACAGUGGGCGGAAGCCUGAUGCAGCGACGCCGGGUGCGGGAUGACGGCCUUCGGGUUGUGAACCGCUUUCGGCUGAGACGAAGCGUGAGUGACGGUAAUGAGUAAAGAAGCAACGGCUAACUACGUG